GACGAACGCUGGCGGCGUGCCUAAUACAUGCAAGUCGAGCGAAGUUUUUCUGGUGCUUGCACUAGAAAAACUUAGCGGCGAACGGGUGAGUAACACGUAAAGAACCUGCCUCAUAGACUGGGACAACUAUUGGAAACGAUGGCUAAUACCGGAUAACAGUAUUUCUCGCAUGAGAGAUAUUUAAAAGUUGGUUAUGCUAACACUAUGAGAUGGCUUUGCGGUGCAUUAGCUAGUUGGUGGGGUAAAGGCCCACCAAGGCGACGAUGCAUAGCCGACCUGAGAGGGUGAUCGGCCACACUGGGACUGAGACACGGCCCAGACUCCUACGGGAGGCAGCAGUAGGGAAUCUUCCGCAAUGGGCGAAAGCCUGACGGAGCAACGCCGCGUGAGUGAAGAAGGAUUUCGGUUCGUAAAGCUCUGUUGUUAGGGAAGAAUGGAUAUGUAGUAACUAUACAUGUAAGAGACGGUACCUAACCAGAAAGCCACGGCUAGCUACGUG
rnacentral:rRNA from 1 species